AAUGAACGCUGGCGGCGCGCCUAAUACAUGCAAGUCGAGCGAGAAGACGUAGCAAUACGUUUGUAAAGCGGCGAACGGGUGAGGAAUACAUGGGUAACCUACCCUCGAGUGGGGAAUAACUAGCCGAAAGGUUAGCUAAUACCGCGUACGCUUCUUGGACUUCGGUUCAGGGAGGAAAGCGAUGCCGAGGGUAUCGCGCUCUUGGAUGGGCUCAUGUCCUAUCAGCUUGNGGUGAGGUAACGGCUCACCAAGGCUUCGACGGGUAGCUGGUCUGAGAGGACGAUCAGCCACACUGGCACUGCGACACGGGCCAGACUCCUACGGGAGGCAGCAGUAAGG
rnacentral:rRNA from 1 species